AUGCUGGAGACAGGCAAAGAAAUGGCCUAUCAUCAAGUCAUGAACAUGUUCUCCAAAACGAAGAAAGUGAUAGAACUUGUCCGAGCUAACCGACCUCAGAGGAAAACAAUUCAGGCCUACAUCACUGACCCUGCCAGAACUAACCCUUUACUUGGCCUGAACUUCCUUCUUGAGUUCUCUUGUCCGGACAGUGAGUGGCAUUGUGGGUAUCUCUGUACACUGUGCAGGCAGAAAGUAUCAGCCAUCGACUGCAUCUCUCAUUGCAUCAGCUUUGAUCAUAUUUAUUGGUACAUGGAAGCUGCUCACCCAGCAACACUGCAAUGCCCUAAGAGUAGUUAUACUAACUACUCUUUCAGUUUCAACCAGAAGAUCCUUUACUUUGCCAAUCAAGCACAGAAACAUCACCCUCCUGGAAUAGUAGAGGUGGUAUUCUUCUCUUGCUGA
rnacentral:lncRNA from 1 species